rnacentral:rRNA from 1 species
AAGAACGUUACUCAUCGCAUCACAUGGAUGCCUCGACUCUGUACUCCGAAGAAGGACGUAGCCAGCUGCGAUAAGCCUCGGCAAGCCGCUAGGCAGGCGCUUGUAGCCGGGGAUUUCCGAAUGGGGAAACCCCAUGGAAGUUAUAUUCCAUGAUCCCGCUCACGCGGGAAGGUCACCCUGUGAACUGAAACAUCUCAGUAACAGGGGAAAAGAAAUCAAAUCGAGAUUCUCCGAGUAGUGGCGAGCGAAAGGGGAACAGCCUAAACCUCAUGCUUGCAUGGGGGGUUGUAGGACCUCUUGUACCGAUUCAAUUGUCAUAGACGAACGUCCCUGGAACGGGCGGCCAUAGCGGGUGAGAGCCCCGUAGUCGAAAUGACAAGAGACGGGUGAGGAUUCCUGAGUAAGGUCGGACACGUGAAAUCCGGCCCGAAUCCGGGUGGACCACCAUCCAAGGCUAAACAGGUACAGAGUUCAAUAGCGGAUAGUACCGUGAGGGAACGGUGAAAAGCACCCCGGAAGGGGGAUGAAAUAGUCUCUGAAAUGUGAUGCGUUCAAGGAAUGGGAGCGGGUCCCACUUGUGGGUUCGACGGAGGUGAGUGUUGUUGUCCUCGAAUGGAUGAAGUAGUAAGGGAUCAGUAUUAAGUAUUAAGGGUCUGCAGAAGAACCCUUAUCCCAUAAUACUCAUCCCAUCAUACUUCUUCGGAACGAGAAUAGCAGCGCCAACUAAUCCUGAAUCCAGAAGCGGGGCCCGUGACCGUGUGCCUUUUGCAUAAUGAGCCAACGAGUUUGUUGUCAGUGGCAAGGCUAAGGCAGUACAUAGCCGGAGCCGGAGCGAAAGCGAGUCUGAAUAGGGCGAUUCAGUCGCUGGCACAAGACCCGAAACCGGGUGAGCUAACCAUGGGCAGGGUGAAGGGCGCCGAAAGGCGUCUGGAGGCCCGAACCAUAACUUGUCGCAAGAAGUUGGGAUGACCUGUGGUUAGGAGCGAAAAACUCAUCGAACCCGGAGAUAGCUGGUUCUCCUCGAAAUGUCUUUAGGGACAGCCUCGUCACGCACGGCGGGGGGUAGAGCGACUGUUUGGGUGCGGGGGUCUUUUUGGACCUACCAAAUCCUGACAAACUCCGAAUACCCGCCCUUAGGUGACGGGAGUGAGACGGUGACGGCAAAGCGCCAUCGUCGAAAGGGAAAGAGCCCAGAUCACUUGCUAAGGUCCCUAAUCGAUCGCUCAGUGGUAAAGGAAGUACAGGUGCAUAAACAGCCAGGAGGUUGGCUUAGAAGCAGCCAUCCUUUAAAGAAAGCGUAACAGCUCACUGGAGGAUGAUACGUGGCGCCGAAAAUGAUCGAGGAUUAAGCUCUU